AGUGAACGCUGGCGGUAGGCCUAACACAUGCAAGUCGAACGGCAGCACAGUAAGAGCUUGCUCUUACGGGUGGCGAGUGGCGGACGGGUGAGGAAUACAUCGGAAUCUACUUUUUCGUGGGGGAUAACGUAGGGAAACUUACGCUAAUACCGCAUACGACCUACGGGUGAAAGCAGGGGAUCUUCGGACCUUGCGCGAUUGAAUGAGCCGAUGUCGGAUUAGCUAGUUGGCGGGGUAAAGGCCCACCAAGGCGACGAUCCGUAGCUGGUCUGAGAGGAUGAUCAGACACACUGGAACUGAGACACGGUCCAGACGCCUAAGGGAGGCAGCAGUGGGGAAUAUUGGACAAUGGGCGCAAGCCUGAUCCAGCCAUACCGCGUGGGUGAAGAAGGCCUUCGGGUUGUAAAGCCCUUUUGUUGGGAAAGAAAAGCAGCAGGUUAAUACCCCGCUGUUCUGACGGUACCCAAAGAAUAAGCACCGGCUAACUUCGUG
rnacentral:rRNA from 1 species